rnacentral:lncRNA from 1 species
UCAUGAACCUUUCCUUCAAACAAUGCUUGUUGAACUGCACAUAUCUGCAAUUCACCAAAAAGUGCAGCAGCAUGAGACUCCAAUUGCUCAACCUCAUCUCUUCCUUUUCGUAGUUCAUAAUUCAAACUUUCCUCCCUGCUCUUCGCUUCUAAAAGGUCUCCAUUCAAUUUCACCAUUUCAGUCUCCAAUCCCUUAUUUGCUUCACGAAUACACUCUCCCUCCUUACUCUGUUGAUCAUAAUCCCCACACAGUUUGAUGAUCUUCUUUUCCUGACCUGCUCGUAUUAACUCAACCUCACCAUACUUGCACCGCAGAUCCUCCACCUCAUCUCUUCCUUUUUGUAGUUCAUAAUUCAAACUUUCCUCCCUGCUCUUCGCUUCUAAAAGGUCUCCAUUCAAUUUCUCUAUUUCAGUCUCCAAUCCCUUAUUUGCUUCACGAAUACACUCUACCUCCUUACUCUGUUGAUCAUAAUCCCCACAUAGUUUGAUGAUCUGCUUUUCCUGACCUGCUCGUAUUAAUUCAACCUCAUCAUACU